rnacentral:rRNA from 1 species
AUUCCAGCUCCAAUAGCGUAUAUAAAAGUUGCUGCAGCUAAAAAGCUCGUAGUUGGAUUUGUUGGUGUUGAUCGGGUGUGUUUUGGUCGCCUUUGGGUGCACUAGCCCCCGGUCACGGCCAUAUGAUUUUUGUGGUGUGAGCGGGAUCAACCCCGCUCGCUCGACAAGUUGUUACUUUGAGUAAAUUUGAGCGUUCAAAGCAGACUGUAUGUCUCUGUAAAUUCUAGCAUGGGAUAACGUUUGAUGACUGUGGGCCAUGUCGUUGGUCUAUGACUGCCGCGGUAAUGAUGGAGAGGGACAGUCGGGGGCAUUCGUAUUUCAUUGUCAGAGGUGAAAUUCUUGGAUUUGUGAAAGACGAACUAUUGCGAAAGCAUUUGCCAAGGAUGUUUUCAUCA